UCCCAAGGCUAAAUACUCCCUAGUGACCGAUAGUGAACCAGUACCGUGAGGGAAAGGUGAAAAGCACCCCGGAAGGGGAGUGAAACAGUUCCUGAAACCGUGUGCCUACAAGUAGUUAGAGCCCGUUAAUGGGUGAUAGCGUGCCUUUUGUAGAAUGAACCGGCGAGUUACGAUUUGUUGCAAGGUUAAGCGGAAAAAGCGGAGCCGUAGCGAAAGCGAGUCUGAAUAGGGCGCAUAAGUAACAGGUCGUAGACCCGAAACCAGGUGAUCUACCCAUGUCCAGGAUGAAGGUAAGGUAAUACUUACUGGAGGUCCGAACCCACGCACGUUGAAAAGUGCGGGGAUGAGGUGUGGGUAGCGGAGAAAUUCCAAUCGAACUUGGAGAUAGCUGGUUCUCUCCGAAAUAGCUUUAGGGCUAGCCUCGAGGUAAAGAGUCAUGGAGGUAGAGCACUGUUUGGACUAGGGGCCCUUCUCGGGUUACCGAAUUCAGAUAAACUCCGAAUGCCAUGUACUUAUACUCGGGAGUCAGACUGCGAGUGAUAAGAUCCGUAGUCGAAAGGGAAACAGCCCAGACCACCAGUUAAGGUCCCCAAAUAUAUGUUAAGUGGAAAAGGAUGUGGGGUUGCUUAGACAACCAGGAUGUUGGCUUAGAAGCAGCCACCAUUGAAAGAGUGCGUAAUAGCUCACUGGUCGAGUGACCCCGCGCCGAAAAUGUACCGGGGCUAAACAUAUUACCGAAACUGUGGAUGAACCUCUUUAGAGGUUCGUGGUAGGAGAGCGUUCUAAGGGCGGUGAAGUCAGACCGGAAGGACUGGUGGAGCGCUUAGAAGUGAGAAUGCCGGUAUGAGUAGCGAAAGAAGGGUGAGAAUCCCUUCCACCGAAUAUCUAAGGUUUCCUGAGGAAGGCUCGUCCGCUC
rnacentral:rRNA from 1 species